CGAGGUGUUUGUUUAAGCCCAUAGAGAGCCUUUUUCAGCUUAAGCACUUUUCCCUCUUCCUUCUUGAAACCUUCGGGUUGAUCAACAUACACACACUUCCUCUUCAAGUUCUCCAUUGAGGAAUGCUGAUUUGACAUCAAGUUGGGAAAUCUUCUGACUCCUUUGAGCUGCAAGUGCAACAACAGUUCUGAUGGUGUCCAGCCGAGCCACAGGAGCAUAGGUUUCAUUGAAAUCUAUCCCAGGCUGUUGACAUGGAACAAGCUCCCAGGUGUUGUUUUUCUCAAUCAUCUUGAUCUCCUCCUUCAUUGCAUCCACCCAAACCGAUUCUUUUAUAGCAGCUGCAUAGUUUUCAGGUUCCAAAGAGGUAUAGUUGCAAGAUUCAUAAAUUUCACUUAGAGGUCUUAAUCUUCUAAGAGGUGACUUGGGUGAAGAUUGGUCUGAAACUUCAAGGUUGCUGUCAGAACUUCGUGCUGGAGUUGGUGUUGCUGGCUGAUUAUCAUCAUCAUUUUCAAGCCUCACUCCAGGUUCUCCAAUUGCUGGGACAUGGAUAUAGCAGAUGCAUCCAAAGACUUUAAGGUGACCAGCAGUAGGUUUGUGCCCACUCCAAGCUUCAAUAGGAGUAAAAUCCUUCACAACCUUUGUAGGGCAUUUGUUUAGGAGAUACACGGCUGUGUUGACAACCUCAGCCCAAAAAUUUUUGGGAUUCCCUUUUGCCAUUAGCAUAGAUCUGACCAUUCCCUGACAGUCCUAUUUUUCCUUGCUGAGACUCCAUUUUGCUGUGGAGUAUAGGCAACUAUCAACUGGUGUUCCAGCCCUUCAUUUUUGCAAAACUCAUCAAACUUUCCUCAGUUAAACUCAGUACCUCUAUCACUUCUCAAGAUUUUGAGUUUUCUGCCACUAAGAUUUUCCACCAGCAACUUGAAUUUCUUAAAAAUUUCAAAAACCUCUGUUUUUUCUUUGAAGAAAUACACCCAAGUCAUCCUAGAAAAAUUAUCAAUAAACAAAAUUAAGUACCUAUUUUGACUUUGAGAAAGUGUCCUCAUGGGACCACACACAUCAGUAUGCACAAGCUCUAAAACUGAUUUGGCUCUCCAGGCUUCUCCAUUGGGAAAGGAUUGUCUAUAUGUUGUUUGCCCAACAUGCACCCCUCACAUACGGGCAUAUUCUAAUCCAAGAGAACCAAAUCUCUCAUCAUAUUUUUUUGACUUAAUAGCCUUAGUGCAUCAAGGUUAUAAUGUCCAAACCUUUGAUGCCAUAAGGUAGUUUCAUCAGUUUUAGCCACAAGAGCCUUCGGAUAUUGCCAACAAAUAGGAAAAUUCCUCCCCAUUUCCCAUCCUGACUUCAGCCACCACAAGAUUAUUAUUCUUUAAGUCAUAGAUGGUGCACAGAUCAUCAUCAAAGUGAAGAGAGUACUCGUUUUGCAUCAUUUGUCCUACACUUAAUAGACUUUGAUCAAGACUUGGAACGAGCAAGACAUCACAAAGAAAUCUGGUUCCAUUUUUAGUUUGCAAAGCUACUGUGCCUUUUCCUUUUGCCUCCACCAGGUCAUCAUUUCCUAGUUUAAUUUUUACUUUGACAGGUUCAUCAAUCCGAGAAAAUAAGCUUGAACCUGGUGUCAUGUGGUUACUAUAACCACUAUCGAGAAACCACUCCUUUUGUUCAGCAGCUACUUGACAAGCAUAGAACAGCUGCUCCUCCUUGUCUUCAAUGAAAUUUGCUUGUUGAUUCCUAUUUUUGAGCUUGUAAUCUUUUUAUUCAUGACCAAACCUUUUACAGUUGGUGCACUGAGGUUUACCACGAUGAAAACAAUCCUUCUCCAAAUGAUUUGUUUUCUUGCAUAUACCACAAGAUGGAAAGUCCCCCUUUGCAGUACACUUUUGCUUAUGGCCAUCACCACCUUUUGCCGAGCCCUUGUACUUCUUUUUGAAGUCCUUUUGCUUCUAAUUUCUGAGAUGGACUUCCAGCUAGAAUGCAUUCUCAAGAGUGGCUUCAUUUCUUCUGUCAAGCCUUUGAUCAUGUGCUUGCAAGGACCCCAUCAAUUCAGUGACUGAUAGUGUUGAAAGAUCCCGAGAUUCUUCAAUGGCAGCAACCAUUGUGUCAUACUUCUCGAUCAAGCUAAUGAGAAUCUUUUGCUCAAUUCUCUCAUCUGUCAUGUUCUAUCCAUAAGCCCUUAUUUGAUUAACCACUUCAACGAGUUUUGAGCAAUAUUCUUUGGCAGUCUCAGAAUCUCUCAUUUUGAGGUUCUCGAGCUCCCUUAUCAACCCUUGAAGCUUAAUGGUUUUAACUUUACUAUUUCCUUGAAACUCAAGUUGUAAGA